UUGCUCAAUCCACCGGAGCCUGUCUUUGUAUGCAGGGGAAGUCCCUAACACACUGAGGGUUUGAGACCCAUCAGCUGCAAAAAUCAAAGGCUCACUUCAAGAUCAGUGUAUCUUACUUCCAGGGGUUUUUGUGACUGUGAAUUGGCAGUACAACAACAAAAUCUGUUCCAGGAACAAAAUGGGUUUCACAACCUCUGGAACUUCAGGGAUUCUGUUCAGGUAUGGUUGAGGUUUGCCUGGGUUGGCUGCCUGUAUCAUGGAUAUAACAAUGUGUGGGGUACUGUACCCUAAUUUAAUUAAUUCAAUAUUUGCAAAGCACAUUUUACCUCUCCAAUCAUAUUUUUAAAAUAACAUUUUAAAGACAAAGCCAUGUAAGUGUGCAGUUAUCAAAUCAGUAUUGAUGCCCAGUAGUUUGCAUUCUAACUUUGAUGGAAAUAAGGUUGGGUUUUUGAAAAUUGCCUUUGCUACACCUGUUGUUGACAGUAUCCCCUUGUCCGGCCAUUAACUAUUCAGGCCAAUUUUUCAAAGCAAAAACAGUUUGUAGAAGCAGCUGGAUAUUCAUGAAAUAAACAUAUUUUGCAGUAAUUAUUUUAA